rnacentral:lncRNA from 1 species
AGCAAGAACUGGCUUCUUUAGGUGGGAAGGGCUUAGCUGAUUAGACAGGUGAGGACUCAGGUGACAAGGCCAUGCAGGGGAUGUAACAUUUAGAUAUCAAGUGUCUGUUGUCUGCCUUCCAUCUGUCUGUCUAUCUGUCAUAUGUUUCUAUCAGCUAUCUAUCUACCUAUCUCUCAUCUAUUUCUAGCACUAUAAUAUAUCUCUAUCUAUCUAUCGAUCUAUCUAUCUAUCGAUCUAUCUAUCUAUCUAUCUAUCUAUCUAUCUAUCUAUCUAUCAUCUGUAAUCAUUUAUCUAUAUCUCCCUGUCCAUUUAUCUAUCUAUCUAUCUAUCUAUCUAUCUAUCUAUCUAUCUAUCUAUCUAUCUAUCUGCUAUCUAUCUAUCAGCUAUCUAUCAGCUAUCAAUUUUAUAUCCAUCAAUCUAUCUACCUUUCUUCUACCAUCCACAUAUUUUGUUUAUCUAUCAGUCAUUUACCAUCUAUUAUGCCUAUUUGUCAUCUGUUUGUCUAUCAGCCCUCUCCUAUAAUCUGUGUAUCUUUUUGUCCAUCAAUCAAUCCUCUGUUAUUCACUGAUUGGACAUUAGGUGUACCUUUUAGAUUAAGAAUAAUAAAAACAGGAUAUUGUUCUUCCACAAUCACGGCCUCCUGGCAUUCCUUCCCCAGUGUGAACCAGAGUUCUGACUUAAAGCAUUUUCCUUCUCUAUAAUGAACUCCUUCUCUUUGUGUUUGCUUACUAGCUCUUUGAGACUAUCAAACAAUGUCUCAUGACCAUGCUCACUAUAUCCCCCUCUUCCCUAAGACCCAACCCUCCCCUCCCCUUCCAACUCUACUCACAUCUCUGUCAAGGCAAGUCCUCCCAGGAAACUCUCCCUGCAUUUUUUCUUACACACACACACACACACACACACACACACACACACACACACACACAUGCACACCCUCUUAGCUAGUUCAUUGGUUUCUAGAAUUUCCUUGCCAUCAUUUAUUUACAACUUUAAAAAUUAUGCUAAAUUAUGCGUGGCUUUAAAAUGUACCAUUCUGACUGUUCCAUGUGCAUCAUUCUGCGGCAUUGAAAGCUCACAUUGUAUAGCAUCAUUCAUCUACAGAACUCUCCUCCUGCCAAAGCAAAGCUCCACAUCUUCAUGCCCCAUCUGCACCACCAUUCUUUUGGGGGCUCUGUGAGUCAUCUAUCUAUCUGUUCCCUUUCUUUACCCACUUAGCUAUGUAUUCUUUUGUAUUGGAUGUGUGGUCUUUCAGUGGAGUACGGUCAGCUUACACCCUUCCUUUCCCAGUCACAAGCAGUAGUCUAUAGCUCUGCUGCUAUGGGUGGGAUUUCAUGCCCAAAUCCCAUCUCCAUCUAUCUAUCUAUCUAUCUAUCUAUCUAUCUAUCUAUCUAUCUAUCUAUCUAUCUAAUGUUCCCAUUUUAUAUCCAUUUACCUACCUACCUUCUAUCAUCCACAUGAUUCAUCCAAUAUGAAUCAGACUACUCCAUACUCCAUGUAAAUAGUAUCAUUCAGAAUUUGUCAUUUUGUAACUGCCUGAUGUCAUUUAUUGUGUCUUCCAGGUCCCAUUUGUACUGUGUUAUAGGAACAUCUUCCUUCUUCAAGCCGACUGAUGUUCCCUGGCAUCUACAACCCUCGCACAUUUUACCCACUUGUCUAUUGAUGGGCACUCCAGUAACUGCCACAUUUACACUGUUGUGAAUAACACUAUCAUGGCGUGAGUGUGUGAGCAUUUCUUCAAAACUCAGCUUUCAGUCUGUUUAGGUAUAAUUCAGAAGUGGGCUUUCUGGAUGCAUGGUAAUUAAUUCCAUUCUUAUUUUUUGAGAGAAGCUGCCACACUGUUUUGCACAGUGACUGCCAAAUUUUAUAUCCCUACUGUCAGCGAACAAGCAUUUCAAAGUCCUCACAUCCUCACCAGCACUUACUGCAGUCUGUUUUAAGGUGUAUUCUAAUUGGUGUGUGCUGAUUAGACUCUUGUAAAUUUUUACUGAAGAUCUAUUCAAGCCUUUGAUUUUUUGUCUAAUUUUAUUAAUUCUUUGAGAGUUUUAUAUAAUAUGUUUUGAUCAUAUUCAUACCCCAACCCUUCCCUUUUCCAUGUUCCCUUUCUUUACCCACUUAGCUACGUAUUCUUUUGUAUUGGAUGUGUGGUCUUUCAGUGGAGUACGGUCAGCUUACACCCUUCCUUUCCCAGCCACAAGCAGUAGUCUAUAGCUCUGCUGCUAUGGGUGGGAUUUCAUGCCCAAAUCCCAUCUCCAUGCUGGGGUUUUGUCUGGCUUAAGUUUCAGGUUUUGUGCAUGCUCUCAGAGCCAGUGUGAGCUCAUAGAGCUGCAUCCCUGCUGUGUUCAGAAGAUACCGUUUCCAUCACCUCUGGUUCUUACAUUUUUUUCCCACCUUGUAUUAGUUAGGGUUCUCUAAGGAACACACCUGAUAGGAGGAAUAUAUAUGGAAUGUAUUAGAGUGGCUUAUAGACUGUGGUCCAGCUACUCCAACAAUGGCUGUGUCUCAAUGGAAAUUACAAGAAUCCAAUAGUUGUUCAGUCCACAGCUGAUCUUCAGUACAUGCCAGAAUCCUCAACAAAACACAGGCUCUAAUGACAGUGGA